CCCUUGGGCCUGCACGCAGGCUAGGAUAAUCCAUCUCAGACAUACAGAAAACUGUAUGUCGACCGAACUGCGCAUGCGUUGGCAAAAGCAAAACAAAUUGUUUGAAAUAUUUUAUUCUUUCGUCUAUAAAAUGAUUAUUUUUUCGGGGUUUUGGUGGAAAUGUUGAUGUUCUUCAUAGUGGGAUACAAAAGGUGUGUUAGCGACUGAAUAAGGAAAAUAUUGCGUGUGAAACAGGGUCAGUAUAGAGCCGGCAGGAGCCGCGAAGAGUGCUGUUGUAGUGCACCCUAUUUUGUUAUUUCACUGUACUUCUGGACAGGGAUGGAUCCAGCAUGAUCUGGGGGGGGGGGGGGGGCUCUGGUGCCAAGUUGUGUUGGUCAUGUGUGCCGCCCGCCCAUCAACUACUGUAUUUGAAUUGUAAUUGUUCACAGUUCACUUAUCAUCAUGUUAUUACUCAAAUUACUGUAUCUCAUUUUGUCUUUUUUGCUUUAUCAUGAAAAAUAGCACCUCCCCUGCAACAUCUCUGGCCAGGGCUAGGGGGGUGCACCCCCCCCCCCAGUAAAUCCAUCCCUGCUUCUGGACAAUAUUUCUCAUCAAUGGCCAGAAAUGUACUUGACUUCAUGUUGAUUACUGCCAUUAAUUAAUUAACUACUGUACUAAAUAGGACAUUCAAGGUUGGAGAUAUAAUAGCAAUGAGGUUGCUAGCUAUCAUUGUAGCAUUCAGGGGCAUCACUAGCCCAAAUUGUCAGUCAUUUGGCAAUUUAUUGUAUCGCAAUCAGGAAAUUGUUUUCGUGGCCAGCAUGAUUUGAAUUGGAUAGGAAGGGAAAAAACUGAAAUAUGAGUUUUUGUUGCCCAUCCCCUUCUCAGAGUAGGUAUGUGUUGUUUUAUAGUGUAAAAGUAACAAGUUUUGAUAUUGCAAUCAAACAGACAGGGUAGUUGUCAUGACCAUGGUAAUAAAAAUAUUUCUAUGGCUCGGCAUUUAUAUUGGGCAAUUUUUUAUCAUUCAUCACAAAAUUAUACCUGCACCCUAGGUGGUUCCCUACAGGGGGUCAUAACCAGGGGGAAGCUGAUGAAAAUGAAUUCUGGUGACUGCAUGAUCACUAUCAUUUAAAGGAAUAGAACAUUUCUUAAAAAAAAGUAUAUGAAUUUAUUAAAAAUAUUUAUAUGGUCUCCCAAUCUGGAAUUCAUACUUUGUAACAUCUGGAUCAAAAAGUUUAUGACGUUUUCUUGGACAGAAUCCAAUUAAUACAACUUCGUACAGAGGGCAGGGCUUCUUUGAAUUACUGUGUGGACAAGAUUAACAAAGGGAUUGCCAAUUUGGCAUAUUGUGCUACUCAAUAAAUUAAAAUCAUUAAAUACUUUAUGCUACAAUUAGCUGUCAGUAAUAUUAUACUGUAUAUUAUUGUGUUUCAUAUGACAUCAUAAAUUUGAUGGGUGGUCAACUCUAAAUCGGGACACAGUCAUCAGAGGGAAUUAAUUUUUCACUGUAUGUGUUGGCCUUGUGUUUCGUUGCAAAUACAUGCAAUUUCAUGUCAUUUGCUCACUCCAGUACAACAUAAGCAUCAAUACAUUUUUUAGGUUGACCCCCUGUCAGAACCAAUGACAGAACGUGCAAAAUGCCAUAGUGAAAUCCAAU